UGUAGUUUCCUUCGGCUCUCUUUUCUUGUCUCUCCAUAGUCACUUCUUUUACAUAUAAAUUUGAGGUACUUGUGUAAGGAAUUUGAGGGGGCUUUGGGAAUAAAAGUUGUUCCUGUGAACUUGGACUUCCUUUUGAUAUAAAGGUUGCAAAUAUUUUCUCACUGUUUGGGUUUCAAAAGGGGGUUUUAAAGAGGAAAGGUGGUGCUUGUAUUUUAAAGGGUGUUCUUCAUUUUCUUCUAAAUUUUGUGGCUUUAAUCCUUCCUUGGUGUGGCUUUUGGGUAGUCUAGCAAGAUCUAAGGCUCCUUUUGAGAAAAUUUUGAGGCGAUUCCAUUUCGGUGGUAAUUGGGAUUUUCAUUCCAAUUGAGGUCGGGGUUGUCCUAAAGUCCACAACCUUUGUUUCUUGUGGAUUUUCAUUCCAACUGAGGAACUCUCCCAUGCAUGCGUGAGCUGAAAUUCUAUGCCGUAAAUCUCAGCUGCUCACAAGCUAUUGUUGUUCACCACCCCCCUUCAGGAUGUAAUGGACCUGGGUAUGUGGCCUAUGGUAAACCCUUAUCUGUUUAGCCACAAAUGAUAGAUGAGGUUUGUGGGAAGGCUCACAUAUGGGCCUUAAGAUCGGCCUGCAGAACCAAAUUGAGGUUGUUUGCUUCAUUUUUACCUUCCAAGGACUAGUUACAUCACUGAUCUUUCUUUAGGGAUAUCUAGGCGCUGAAAACCUUCUCUUUGCGACGUGUUUUUUUUUUUUUUCUCUUGCAGGUCAUGGACUGGGUUUUAGGACUCUCUUGUACCCUAACAUGUAAGGGCAUUCAGGGUUUAGAGUGUGGAUUGAGAAAAAACUGAAAGCCACAGUUUGGAGACUGAGAGAGGGGGUUUUGGAGGCUGAAACUUGUAAUCUCUUAUUUUUUCGUAUGGUAAAAUCUUUCAUUGGAUUUUCACCAUGGACGUUGGCUUUACAUCAAACCACUUUAAUUCUUGUGUUAUUUGUGUGGUGUGUGUUUACUUUUUUGUUUCUUGCUUGUGUUCUUGGUUCAUGGCGUUUGUCGUAGCAGCUACCAACAAUACGAUAAGCAGCCAACACUGGAGGGCAUAGCCCACGAACAAAAUCAAAUGGACAAUACUUUUUGUGCCAUUCCACAAGUAAAAAGAAACUUAGCCACAUACAAAGGGCAAAAAAAAAAAAAAAAAAACUGGGAUAAACCAAACAAAUGAACCAAGCAACAUCCUGAGGAAUGACAUCAUCCAAACAGUCAACUUAUGGUUGGAUAUUUCUAGACAAAAUCCACACAUGUAGGAAAAACCUGGUGUUAUGCUUUCAUAUAAUUGAUUGCUAUAUAACAAGUUUAC